UACGUAGGAGGCGAGCGUUGUCCGGAGUUACUGGGCGUAAAGGGUGCGCAGGUGGCCGUGUGCGUGGGGAGUGAAAUCGCCUGGCUUAACUGGGCGGGGGCUUUCCAGACGGCGCGGCUUGAGCCACAGAGGGGGGCGUGGAAUUCCGGGUGGAGCGGUGAAAUGCGUAGAGAUCCGGAGGAACACCGACGGCGUAGGCAGCGCGCUGGCUGUGAAUAAAGCUGACACUGAGGCACGAAAGCUAGGGGAGCAAACAGG
rnacentral:rRNA from 1 species